UCAUGAGAGUGAUCAUGAUCGUGGUCAUGGUCGUGAUCAUGGCCCUCGUGAGAGUGAUCAUGAUCGUGGUCAUGGUCGUGAUCAUGGCCCUCG
rnacentral:miRNA from 1 species